GAUCAGCUGCAAGUGCCAGCGUGCAAGUGCGAGUGGCGCGACAGACGCUUCGGUGUCUGUCGUCCAUCCAGCAACUGCGGACGCUGAGGAGCCACAUCGGGGACGCCGCCACCAGUGUGACCUGUGCGACUACGAGACUGAUCACUUGUCCCAUUUCGAGCAACACAUCGAGGUCCAUACGGUCGAGCGGCCGUUUAAAUGCCACAUGUGCCCUCGGAGAUUUGCACACAGGACCUCGCUGAAGGACCACGUGCGCGUCCACUCUGAGAAGCGGCAGUUCAAGUGCCACCUGUGUACCUACAGGUUCUCGCGAAAGUCCGUACUGGAACAUCACCUGUGCACCCACACGGGCGAGCGGCCAUACGAAUGCCAGAUAUGCAGCAAGCGCUUCUCGCAAAGGUCCACGCUGAACAACCACGUGCGCAUCCACACAGGCGAGCGGCCAUAUCAGUGCUCUUUGUGCGACCAGACAUUUAGGCAGAGUGCAAACCUCAAGCGACACAUGCGCCAGCAUGAACGCAAGUGACCGUUUCACGCAAGUUCUGUUGUACAAGCUUUUGUUUGGAAAGACACAUUUGACCGGUGAUUCCAGAGCAGUGUGACAUCCGAGUUACCUAGGACAGCGUUAAAGCUGUGGUUCUAUUAGUGAUAGAACAGCUUCGUCACUGAUCCUAGAGCGUCAUUAUGCAUGCCGUAAAAUAUAGUUCAAAUGUUCCGUUACAUUUAGAUGUUUCUUUACGGUGUUCUACCUGACCAAGUGAAUAUUCUACAUCUUAUAAGCUGAACAAAAGCGUGUGUAUUUGUACUGGUGAGCAAGCACUCCGCUGUGUUGUCAACCUCAGAUCCUUUGCAAAAGCCACUCACUUGAACACGUCAUUAUACCAUCAAGUGGGUCAACAGCUGUGUAGGUGUAUCAUCAUUCAUCGUUGAUGAAUGAUAUUAUAUAAUAAUUAAACUAUUAAUUGGGAGUCUAGUUAUGCACGCUUCAUGCUUCAUGGCACUCUGGAGUACAGGGAAGAACAAGCGUUAUCACAACAGCAAUGACGGGGACACCACAAGCGAAAUCUUGUUGAUGUUCAGUCCACGUGCAAUCAGAUCUAGUCCUGCUCCCACUCAGUACACUAUGUGAUCUCUAAGAAGAGCACACUACUUUGCAACACCCUACUUUACCAGCAAUCUUUGGUGAACAAGUCACGACUGCUAGUCGCUUCACGUGUGCUUUCUUCGCCGGCAUUAUCUGAUCUGUGCACACAUAAUUUGUCAGCUUGCUUUGUCUCAGAGAAGCUAGAGAGGAUGCGGUGAAUUUUCUCUCCCUUUUAUGUUGUUCACCACAGAUGCAUGGUGAAAGCCGGUGCUUAUAGUCUUCUCAUUUUUUUUUUUUUUUUUCGCAACGUUCACUUUUCUUGCGCGCGUAGGAUACCGCGCUCAUUAAUUUAUUUAGUUUAGGAAUGAUGAGGGCAAAGUAGAGGACCCCUAAACUUCCAUAUCUUAUUUUGCGUGCGACUUCAUUGAUUUGAUAGCGCCAUCAGCAGUUACCCUUUUUUGCAAAACUGUGACUUUUUCUGUUUUGUUUUUUUUUUUUUCAGUAUGGCUACCCAGAUUGUUCCUGUGCAAAACUAAAAUGCUGUUUCGUUAUGUUGAGACGUAGCUGGCACUACCUGUAUUGAAUACUGCAGGAAUUUCUUUUUGCUAAGAUUGCUUGAAGACAUAGAGUGUAUGAUCAUGUGAUAUUACUUUGUAAUGGCAUUACAUUUCAAAGCAUUCGUUCAUUAACUAGACCCAUAGAAUCACGUCUGUACUCAGUCUUGGUAAAUACUUCAUGUUAGAUACCUGACUAAAACAUUUUUUUUUUCUUUUGCCUAUGUUCAUUCCUGCAAAUCAAAUGUGCAUGUGCACUAAAAAAGCAUGAUUAUAUGUGGUUUUUCUAAAGUGUCAACGUUCUUAUUUGUAGGCAAGUUGUGUGGUCUGAAUCGCAACUAACAUGGAUACCUUGUUGUGUGCGAGUUGGGCACUUGAACAACAUUAAGAAUUUGGAUGCAAAAAUGCAGACUUAUGUCAUCAUGUUAUUGGAAUUUUUUUAAUCGGCCUUGGCCAUUUAAUUUAAAUUUUAAUAUAAAUAGAUGCCACCAGUCUUGUUUUGCAAUGUUAUUAACCUUGUGUUAACUAACACAUUUGAACACUUUCAUGUCACUUCAUGUUCACUUAAUGUUUGUUUAUGUCUCACUCUUUAAAAGCAAUUUAACUGUCUGGUAAAAAUUUACAAAUUUAUUUACGGGAUGUCACUUUUCGUUUAGGAGCAUGCAUUUCUCACUUCCUCUAUCUGUGUUCCUGAUUCCUCUGGUAGUCUUGCUUGAUGAAUGAUAAGAUCUGUUAAUUUUAUGCUAAUACAUACUUUCGUUGCACGUUCUGUACUUGUAAGCAUUUUUGCAACUCUUCUUUUUUAUUGCCUAUCAUUGUCAUGUUUUGGCUUUUUCAUUUUCCUCUUGCGUACAAGUAGUCCGUUGCAAGAAUUAGUCAUUUAGCUGUGUGAUCACUUCUGUAGCCACGUUUUGUCGGACAAAAUAAUUUAAUUUUUUGUGAACAUCAUGCAUUCUUUGGGUUUUAUGGCAAGCAUUCAUAGUAUGUCUAGUCAUUAGCGCUAUUUUUGCUUAAUGUUGCAAUAAAAGUUGAGUGUUAAGUCUAAUAUGCUCGAUCAUUUGUUAUUUCCAUAGAAUACAUUUCCGCUUGUGUAUGUUUUUGUUGGUAAUAAUCACUAUUAUGUAAAUGCUGUGA
rnacentral:lncRNA from 1 species